rfam:Syntrophobotulus glycolicus DSM 8271, complete genome.
UCCUCGAUAGCUCAAUGGUGGAGCAACCGGCUGUUAACCGGUAGGUUGCUGGUUCGAGUCCAGCUCGGGGAG